GACGAACGCUGGCGGCGUGCUUAACACAUGCAAGUCGAACGGAAAGGCCCUGCUUUUGUGGGGUGCUCGAGUGGCGAACGGGUGAGUAACACGUGAGUAACCUGCCCUUGACUUUGGGAUAACUUCAGGAAACUGGGGCUAAUACCGGAUAGGAGCUCCUGCUGCAUGGUGGGGGUUGGAAAGUUUCGGCGGUUGGGGAUGGACUCGCGGCUUAUCAGCUUGUUGGUGGGGUAGUGGCUUACCAAGGCUUUGACGGGUAGCCGGCCUGAGAGGGUGACCGGCCACAUUGGGACUGAGAGACGGCCCAGACUCCUACGGGAGGCAGCAGUGGGGAAUAUUGCACAAUGGGCGGAAGCCGGAGGCAGCAACGCCGCGUGCGGGAUGACGGCCUUCGGGUUGUAAACCGCUUUCGCCUGUGACGAAGCGUGAGUGACGGUAAUGGGUAAAGAAGCACCGGCUAACUACGUG
rnacentral:rRNA from 1 species